rnacentral:tRNA from 2 species
GCGGUUGUGGUGGAACGGCAGACACGCUAUCUUGAGGGGGUAGUGCCCACCGGGCGUAUGGGUUCAAGUCCCAUCAACCGCA